GGGGCCGUACUCGCCUUUAAAGUCAUGACUGCAACCCGCCAGUAAACCGGAACAAGAAAAAGAAGACGACCGAAACAUUAGAUACUUGGGAACACGCCGACACAACAUAGCCGCGAGGGCUUUUAAAUGUGUAAUUCCUCAACGUCUACCGUUAUUUGUCUGACGUAUGGAAAAACUACACGUUAUUUAUUAUUAAUUUCAGCAUAACCUCGAUUCGUCUCAGUGAACUUUGAAGCUUCUCGGGCUAGCUUAGCUUGCUACUUAGCUUAGCUCGUUAGCCGCUAACAAAGAGGCAAGGAAGGGUUUAACACAUCGCCGAGCAGACAUCAAAUGUGAGUGCAAAGUGUUUGAAAAUGUGCGAAAUUACGAUAGCCGAGUAUAAGGAGGAGCUUUCUCCAAAAGAGGAGACCGAGCGACAACAUCAACUAUUGGACGCUGUUUUCAAGAAACCGGAAGUCGUGUUACACGGAACAGGAAGACAAAUGUUCUCAUAGUCUGUGUCAGUCAAAAACUACAACCUCAAAGAAGACGAGGAGGAGCCACAGCUUCCCCGGGUCAAAGAGGAAGAGCAGGAACUAUGGAUAACUGAGGAGGAGGCUGAUCUCACCAAGUUUCAACUGACUGUUGUCUCGGUGAAGACUGAAGACCAUGAAGACAAACCACCCGAGUCCUCACAGCUUCAUCACCGUCCAAAUGUUGAGCAGCUGAUUGGUCGCCAAGAAGAACCUUCCCGUCAGCCGCAGAAGGGGAGCUCCACUUUGAAGCAGGAGGAUCCACAGCCCCCUCACAUUAAAGAGGAAGAGUAUGGAUUCUGGACCAUGCAGGAGGAGGCUGAUCCCAUCGAGUUUCCACUGGCUGUUGUCUCUGUGAAUGCUGAAGACCAUGAAGACAAUCCACCUACGUCCUCACAACUUCAUCCCAGUCCAAGUGAGAAGAACAGAGCCGUGGAACCUUCAAGGAGAAGCUCACCACAACGAAUAAAAGAAGCAGAUGGAGGAGGUGGAUCAAAAGCAGACAGGCUCUUAGCUCCACUAUCAGUGACAACACAACGUCACACGUUAAUUCAUACACGAAGCAGCAAGAAGACCGUCCCCCUGCGCCACAGGAGGAAAGCUCCACUUUGAAGCAGGAGUAUCCACAGACCCCCAACAUUAAAGAGGAAGAGGAGGAACGCUGGAUCAGUCAGUCAGGAGAAGAGUGUCUUCUCGGGCCGCAGGAGGCUGAGCUCACCAAGUUGCCUCUGACUGGUGUCUCUGUGAAGACUGACUCCUCUAAUAGUGACAACAUGUCUCAAUCUGAGGAUGAAGACGAGAAUGACACCAAAGAACCUUUGAGCAGCGAUACAGACUGUGAAAGUGAUAUGAGGACUCACACUGACAACAAACACCCAGAAUGUUCUGAAAAGAAGACAAAGAAAACAGGUUUUACCUGCUCGUUUUGUGCUAAAAUGUUUUGUAAAAAAUCGAAUUAUGCUCGACACAUAAGAACACACACACAAGAAAAACCUUUCAAGUGCUCAGUUUGCUGCAGUAGCUUUUCUCAGAAAGUCACUUUGACUAUACACAUGAGAACGCACACAGGAGAGAAACCUUUUUGUUGUUCAGCUUGUGGCGAUACAUUUUCUCGGAAGGACUGCCUAAAAUUACACAUGAGGACGCACACAGGAGAAAAACCUUUCAGUUGCUUAGUGUGCUCCAAAAAUUUUUCUUUCAAGGACUCGUUAACUUGUCACAUGAGAACGCACACGGGAGAAAAACCUUUCAGUUGCUCAGUUUGCUGCGAUACAUUUACUUGCAAGAGCACGUUGACUAAACAUAUGAGAACACACACAGGAGAGAAACCUUAUAGUUGCUCAGUUUGUGGCGAUACUUUUUCUCGAGGGGACAGACUGAAAUUGCACAUGAGAAAACACACAGGGGAGAAACCUUAUAUUUGUUCUGUAUGCGAUAAAGCUUACUCUAAAAAGCAAAGUCUGACAGGACACAUGCUGGCACACAACAGAGAAUAAAUGUUUUCCUGUCCAGUUUGUGCUGUAAGAUUGUCAAGUAGAAUUGUAAUGUCUCACGUGGAAAGUUGUAGUUUAUUUCUGACAUGUAAACAACACUUAUAUAGUGAUGAUCUGUUGUGUGUAUGAUACCAGAUUCCCUCAUGAGUUCCAAGUUAGAGUGCCACUAAGAACAGCAGUUACAUUUUUUAUAAUCAACUCUGAAGCAGGUAAGAAAUGUUGACUAACAAGCUCAGACAGUCUGAUUGUUUGAGGACAACAUGGAUGGAGUUUUCUCUCACAAAAGUGUGUUUGGUAUAUUAUCUGUCUUUAUGAUGGCACCGACAUUUCAUUCUUUAUUUGAAGAGCAUUUUUAAUGUUAUUUUUUGUCAUCUGCAAGACUUAUUUCUGCCUGCCACUGAUGUUAGUCGAUACAAUAAAUAUUCAGCAACAUGUGAUUUAUUUCACUACUUUUAUUGCAGGUGGAUUAUUUAAAAAUAACACAAAAAGUAC